CAUUAGUGCAGAGAGAGGGAUGAGGAUUUUUGGGAAGAAAGUAUAUCCAAGGCAGGUUGUACUUUUCGCUUGCGGGGACGACAACCUACGAUGUUCACAGAUCUAUAAAGAACAACCAAUCACCCCCCUCCGAGGAGCAGCUCCAAGCACUCAACCACUAUAUCAAAUCCUCUCGCCGCCCGCCGCCGCCGACUUAACUAUGGUAUGUUUAAUUACAAAAUUUGCAAUUCGCACCCUCAAAUUCAUACCGCUGCCAAUCAUAUUGAUAUAGUUUUGCCACGUUGUCGUCUGAAAAUCGAAUAUCGUCUCAAAUAAUCUUGUAAAUUUAUGCUUUUCAACCAUUUUUAAUUUUGUAAUUUAUGAUACCAAUUGUUUAGUAGUAAUCCAGCAUUAUGCUU